rnacentral:rRNA from 1 species
AGAAUCAACGCUGGCGGCGUGCCUAACACAUGCAAGUCGAACGCGAAAGUCCCGAAAGGGAUAAGUAGAGUGGCAAACGGGUGAGUAACACGUGGGUGACCUGCCUUCGAGCGGGGGAUAACGUCCCGAAAGGGACGCUAAUACCGCAUAACAUCCUGCCUUUUAAGAGGUGGAGAUCAAAGCCGGGGACCGCAAGGCCUGGCACUUGAAGAGGGGCCCGCGUCUGAUUAGCUAGUUGGUGGGGUAACGGCCUACCAAGGCAACGAUCAGUA